rnacentral:rRNA from 1 species
AUUGAACGCUGGCGGCAUGCCUAACACAUGCAAGUCGAACGAGUGGCGGACGGGUGAGUAAUGUCUGGGAAACUUCCCGAUGGAGGGGGCUAACUACUGGAAACGGUAGCUAAUACCGCAUACCAUCGGAUCUGCCCAGAGGGGAUUAGCUAGUAGGUGGGGUAACGGCUCACCUAGGGGACGAUCCCUAGCUGGUCUGAGAGGAUGACCAGCCACACUGAAACUCAGACACGGUCCAGACUCCGACGUGAGGCAGCAGUGGGGAAUAUUGCACAAUGGGCGAAAGCCUGAUGCAGCCAUGCCGCGUGUAUGAAGAAGGCCUUCGGGUUGGAAAGUACUUUCAGCGAGGAGGCGUUACUCGCAGAAGAAGCACCGGCUAACUCCGGGCCAGCAGCCGCGGUAAUUC